rnacentral:rRNA from 1 species
AGCUCCAAUAGCGUAUAUUAAAGUUGUUGCAGUUAAAAAGCUCGUAGUUGGAUUUGUGGCGUACGGUGGGCUCCGGGCACUUGUUGUCUGAGUAGCUUGCCGUUGCCAUCCUUGGGUGGAACCUGUGUGGCAUUAGGUUGUCGUGCAGGGGAUGCCCAUCGUUUACUGUGAAAAAAUUAGAGUGUUCAAAGCAGGCUUAUGCCGUUGAAUAUAUUAGCAUGGAAUAAUGAGAUAGGACUUUUUCGCUAUUUUGUUGGUUUGCGCGAAGAGGUAAUGAUUAAUAGGGACAGUUGGGGGUAUUCGUAUUCCAUUGUCAGAGGUGAAAUUCUUGGAUUUUUGGAAGACGAACUACUGCGAAAGCAUUUACCAAGGAUGUUUUCAUUAAUCAAGAACGAAAGUA